rnacentral:sRNA from 1 species
GAGCAUGAUAGCCCCCAUGAUCGCCCCC